GCGUCGAUGUGUGUUCGUGAUUUGCGCACCGAUGUCGAUGUGUGUCCGUAAUUUGCGCACCGACAACCCCCGGUCCGUGGUGGGCACUGAGUGCAGAAGAAUAGGUAAGCUACGAAUAGGCAUAAGGAUAGGUUGGCCGGCGCAGAAGGAGGGGUAGGUGGGCGUCGGUCCUCCGCUCGAGUAGCGGUACCGGCAGCCGCUGAGCUACGCGGAGGACACCUAGCUGCUGCGCCCUACGUAGGGAGAGGUACCGGCAAGCGUCGGUGCCCGUGUGAGCAGCGGAACAGGCGGAGGCGGUUGUCGACCUACACGCGGGAGAGGUACCGGCGGUGUCGGUCCCACGCGGUCAGCGGUACCGGUUCGACGUUGGCCGGUGCCGCCGCCGCUCAAGCACGACCUUGGCUCCCCCAAACGACCUUGGUCCAUAAAAAAACGAUCUAGGUGGAAACUAAAACGAUGUUGGGGAAAGUAAAAAACGAUGGUGGGGGUAAGCUAAAAAUACUUGUAGAAACGAAAAACAACCUUGGCCACGGGACUAAACGAUGUUGGUCGACAACACACACGAUGUUCCAGCUACUGAACGGCCUCCUUCGAUGUAGGUCGCCGCUUCUCACGACGUAGGUUGUGGCAAGCUACAGCCCUCGACGUUGGCACGUGCAACCUCGACGUUAACCGAUGACCUCCUCGACGUUCUCCCCUCCGGUAAAAACGCUUACACAAAAGAAAAACGGCUUGGUUAAAACAAAAACGACCUUGGCUACAUAAAAAAACGACCUUGGCUCUAUAAAAAAAAAACGAAGUUGCUGACGUCUCGAGAGUUUACGAGUACAGCAAAAACGACCUUGGAUUCAAACUAACACAACCUUCCUAAAAACUAAAACGAAGUUGGCUGGUGGCCUGAAACUAGGCACCUCUUCUAAAAACGACCUUCUUAAAACGACGAAGGCUAAAAACGACGAACCGUGAGACUGGGGGGCGCUCGGUCUCUGCUUCUCUACGAUGUUGAUCUGUGGGCUCGCGACAGUAAUGACCUUCGAUUUUAGAUCGUUUAACAAGACGAUAGUGGUACAAAAAAAUUGACUUUCCUCGAGGUUAAAAAACGAAGGUGGUACAAGACAAAAACAACCUAGGUCGACAUAAAAACAAAGGUGGUACUGCUGCUGGCCGUCGCUGUGUCGGUGGCGGCGGGCCGUCACUGCUGCCACGGGCCGCUGGUCACCCCUCCCGCCGUUGUCCGCUCACGAGGUCCGCCACGAAGUUCCGCCGCGUAUCGAGUAGGUACCUCCGCCCUACCUAAAAAAAAGAUUUUCUUCUACGGAUUGCUUUCUUCUGCUCCUUUAGCAUGCCGAUACGUAAUAAGAUAGCCUGCUACGACCAUGCUGGCCGGGUUUUAACCUGGCCACGCGGCCGCGGAUCAUGGCGGGUAUUUUGUACGUGUGUGGACAAGAGCACUAACACCUUUUUACAAAGUAUGGAAAGUUUUUUUAGCAUUGUGAAUUUCUACAAAGCGUGCAGAUUUUUUUACAAGUACGGUAAAUACUUUUUAUAAGUUACACACAAUUUUGUUAUAAAUGG
rnacentral:rRNA from 1 species